UUUUUCCUACGGGGCGCAGCAGUGGGGGAUAUUGCACAAUGGGGGGAACCCUGAUGCAGCGACGCCGCGUGGGUGAAGGAGUGCUUCGGCAUGUAAAGCCCUAUCGGCAGGGAAGAAGCAAGACGGUACCUGACUAAGAAGCCCCGGCUAACUACGUGCCAGCAGCCGCGGUAAUACGUAGGGGGCGAGCGUUAUCCGGAUUCACUGGGUGUAAAGGGAGCGUAGACGGCCAUGCAAGCCCGGGGUGAAAGCCCGGGGCCCAACCCCGGGACUGCCCUUGGAACUGUGCGGCUAGAGUGCGGGAG
rnacentral:rRNA from 1 species